rnacentral:rRNA from 1 species
UACGUAGGGCGCAAGCGUUGUCCGGAAUUAUUGGGCGUAAAGAGCCCGCAGGCGGCUUGGCAAGUUUGAGGUGAAAUCUCCCGGCUUAACUGGGAGGGGGCCUCGAAAACUGCCAGGCUUGAGGCAUGGAGAGGGAUGCGGAAUUCCCGGUGUAGUGGUGAAAUGCGUAGAUAUCGGGAGGAACACCAGUGGCGAAGGCGGCAUCCUGGCCAUGUCCUGACGCUCAGGGGCGAAAGCGUGGGGAGCAAACCGG